UAAAUACUAUAUAUAUUUUAAAAAGUUGCACAGACAUUUAUCUUUCAGAGUCAAAAUUAUAUGCAAGCAAUUGAAAAGAAGACUUGUCUCUGGGGUAAACAAUACACAUUUUAUAGCUUGUAAAAAUCAUUUAUUUCUAUAUUGUGCUGAUGGGAAAUUAAAAGGAUUUAACAGAUAAAAUUAUUGCAGAUUUUAUUUAAAUAGAAUUAAACUGUGAAGCAGAGAGAAACAUGAUGAAAUGAAAUAUUUAGGUCACUUUGUUUUGGUUUCUGACAAUACUUUACCUUUAUUUUCAGUCCCCAUGAUAUUCUCAGUUUUGGAGAGAGCAUUGAAAUCUAACUUUGUCUGGGUUGUUCACAUUACACUCCACACCAUUUCAUUAAGUUUUUGAUAAUCUGCAGUCUUCUGUGUGCAAGGAAAGAAAUAAAUAACACAUUUAUUUGCUGAAUGAGUUAUAAAGUUUUCAAGUAUAGUGAUUUUUUGCCCACACAGGAUUCUAUACAUUUAUACCAUCUUAAAUCUGGCAUAUAUAUAUAUAUAUACACACACACAAACACACACACAUAUAUAUAUAUAUUUCAGAUAGCUUCUACUGACAAACACAAAGCUUGUUUGUGUGCAAAUAUAAGGCUAAAUAAAUGGUGCUAAAGUGUAUUAUGACUGUCAGAUAUAAUCAGGCAAACUUUUGUGGUGCUUAAAUUAAUUUUUUCAUUGAUUUAUUAAUCAAUGCAUUGAACAGUGUUUAUUAUUCACAAGUUGUCUUUUACUGGUAAAUCAGGCCUCAUAGCACAUUGUUAAAUAAAAUGGUUGACUAGUCUAUGUAACAGCUCACCAAGCUACUAUCUCUUUAACUCCUUAAUAAUGUUGCAUCAUUAAAGGUCAAGGGAUCAUAAUAUUAAUCUCAUUGCUGUAGACCAUUAACAUGACUGAACUUUUCCACAAAAUACUCAUGUUUACAAUGCUAUAACCCUUUGACUGCUGCGGCAACCUUUAACCACAUAAAUGUCACAAGCUGGAAUCAUCAGCAUGGUUCUUGCCAUGGCAAUCAAAGAGUUAAGGGCUGUGCAGUGAUUUGUUUUGUAUUUAUUAAUUUAUAUUUAUUUUGUUUCCAUUCAAGAAGGGGGUUUUGGGUGGGGCAGUUUUUGUCUGCUGUACGUGUCUUAACCUAGGGAAGGGUUAAAUGGCUUUUUAUACUAUUGCCUCUUCUGUGUUUGCCAUCAAUUCAUUGUGUUGUAAUUUAAAACAAACUGUCAAUAAAUAAGAGAACAGAAAAUGGUUCACAGA
ensembl:lncRNA